rnacentral:rRNA from 1 species
ACUCCUACGGGAGGCAGCAGUGGGGAAUAUUGGACAAUGGGCGCAAGCCUGAUCCAGCCAUGCCGCGUGAGUGAUGAAGGCCCUAGGGUUGUAAAGCUCUUUCAACGGUGAAGAUAAUGACGGUAACCGUAGAAGAAGCCCCGGCUAACUUCGUGCCAGCAGCCGCGGUAAU